ACCUGCUAGUGACAUCAGCAUCAUCUACACACCUGCUAGUGACAUCAGCAUCAUCUACUCACUUGCUAGUGACGUCAUGCUCCUCCUCACCUACUAGUGACACCAUGCUUCUCUUCACCUGUUAGUAACUUGUCUGCUUUGUGAUAAGCAAAUUUUGCUAUCUUCCAAUUCUGAACACAUCAGAAAUCACCAACCUCUCCUGACAUAUCUUUCCAGUUUGGGUUUUGCAUGGUCCCCGAUGAACUCAACGUGGGAUGCCUUUCCGAUUUCUUUCACAUCAGGGCACUUAACCUCUACCAGGCCACAGAGAUGUUCUUCAUUUGGGUCCACCACUUUGCCAUCUGCACCAAGGUGUGGAGCAUCAGGGUGGAUGAUGAGACCAGAUGGAAGAACGUUAACGUCAAAGGUCUCCUCAUAGCGGUGAAGAACCUCUGGCUCA